UGAGCCAGCAGUCAGCACAGAGCCUGAUGCGGGGCUCGAAUCCAUGAGCUGUGAGAUCAUGACCCUAGCCGAAGUCGGACGCUCAACCGACUGGGCCACCAGGGCGGCCUAAGUUAGGGGACUUUCUAAAGCAAGUUGGUACCAUAUAAUUUCCAAGAUGUCCAAACUGAAGUGUCUCAGUAUAUUCAUUCAUUUAUUUAUUCCACAAACAUUUCUGGCUACCUGCUAUGUAGUCCAGGCCCUAGGUAUUGGAGGAGGUCACUGAGAGGACAUGACCUCUGGUUGACCCAACAGGUGCACCUGGGCAAUUGGAGGCUCCUAGCGCCCCUCCCUGUCCUUGGGAUGUCUGUUUCACUCAGCAUUCUCACAGCUGGAGCCAUUUUAAGGAUGAAACCUGGAGAGGGUAAUGUAUUAUUGAGACCAUCUGGAUGGUGUAAUGACUCAACCCCCUUAAGGCUUCUUUAUAAACUUCAGACUCUGGCAGGCGGGUGUAGAGAUUUACUCAUCUUGCGUCGGCCCAAGACAAGCCCGCAGGUUAGCUGACUCACUAUCCCAGGUGUCUAUAACUAGAUGAAACCACUUCUGCAUCACUGUGAAAAAGAGCUCCCCUCUGGAAAACAAUGAUGCUUUAAUGAGCAGCCGUAUGCCAAAAUCAGGACAACAAGGUUACUGACAAGCAAGUCUGCAUUUAAAAUACAUCAGCUACUGGGACGCUAGUCAUGGUGCAAAUUAAGUCAGCUGCAAAAUGGGGUAAUGGAGUGCCCACUAAUGCAUGGAAUCUGUUACAACUAUUCUCUUGCUUUGCUUGGAAGAAGCACACAAAGUGAAGCUGUUAAGCAUCCUGACAUAGAAAUGGCUUUCAUGAAUAUUGCUGAUGCUUGUUACGCUGAACAUUGUGACAUUAAGAUGUGACAUCACAGUGUAAAUGUGUCUUACUGUAUCUGGCCCUGGAAUUGUGUGAGCAGAGCUUACUGGAAGGAACUGGAAGCCUGUCGAAUGUUCUUUGCAUCAUCAGAUAUGUAACACUGGAUCCAGGGGUGAUGGAGACGCUGCUCUUCCACAAAUGACAGGCUCUGGAAGUCAUGACCUCAAAUUAGAAUUGUGAGUUCCUCCAUACUGUGGACUAAGGACUUGGAACACCCACAAGCCCACCUGUGCUAUGAACUUAUUUUUAGAUCUGCCGCCUUCUCUUCACCUUUAAGUUCGAAGCCUCCUCUGGCCUUCCCUACUUCUCUCUAGACCACAUACCCUAACUUCAUUUAUUUUUACCAUGGUUAUUUUCCUGUUAUGUUGUUAAAUUAAUGGUCAUGUCCUCUUACGUUAAUGAUAGUAAAUGACAUUUGUUAUUAACGAUAGCGAUGAAAAGUCUGUAACAAAGAACAAUAAUAGUGGAUGCCAUAUAUUAAAUGCCAAACACUUUUCACAUAUUGUCUUUUUGAAUUUUCACAAAAACUUUUUAAAGUAGUUAUAAUUGUUUCUAUUUAACAUUUCAGGAUACUGAGACUCAGAGAAAUUAAAUAAUGUACCCAAAAUUAUGCAGCAAAGAUCUUUUUGGGGGAAGGUAGAAUCUAAGUACCAUGUUAUUUGUAUAUUCAUUUUCUAUAGAACAAUUUUUUUAUUUUCUAUAUCAUGUAAUUAUACUUCAUUUGUGUGUGUGUGUGUUAUAUGUAUGUAUGUGUAUGUGUAUAUAUAUGUGUGUGUGUGUGUGUGUAUAUACUAUAUAUAUAUAUGAAUCUAUUAUGUUUCUCUUACCAUAAUAUGAGCUCACUGAAGGCAGGUAUGUCUCCUAUUUCAAAUUUGUCUCCUCAGAUGCUUACAGAAUCUAGUAAUCUAGCAAAUUCAUAAAUGGACCUUUGUUUUCUCUUCGAGUCUUUCUGGACAUUUUGUCUGGUGGGUGUCAGACUAGAAGAAUGUGCCUUGAUUUUAGGCAAAUUAGUUCAAUUAUAUUUAAAGGAUUUGAUGUCCAAUACUGUACAGAAAAACAUCAGAUUAGAAACGGUGAGACUCAUUUUCAGUGCAAAAGCGGGCAUACAUUAACUUUGUAAUUAAAAAGAAAUGGACUCAUUACAUGGGUUGUAGCUUUGCAAUUGACUAUAUAUCUGUGUACCCAAGGGUUAGGUUCUUGAAAAAUAUCUUAGUGUAGAUUUCCCUGAAAAUAAAGCCUAAGUAAAGAGCUUGAAGACAGGUGGUUUAUAUGGGAAUAUGAUUUCAGGAGCACAAGUGAAAAAGGAAGGAAUGAACAGAGGAGGGAAGUCAGUGCCCACUGGUGAUGUGUUGCUUAAUCUUGUGGGGAAAUGAUGUCUAAGAAUUAUCUACCUGAGGAAAAAAGGAGAAACAUUUAUCCCUUAGCUGCUAGUUCCAUUGGUCAAGGAUUGCCACGUGAUGUUAAAUCUCUUGGUUCUGGAUUGUGAUAUGUAGACAGGGGUGGGGAUGGGAAAUUCCUGAGUGACUAAAAGAAAUGGGUUUUUGUAGCAGUGGGCUGGAAUAGGAGAUGAAACUGAGAGGGUUUUCAGUAGUAUUCAAGAAAUGUCAGUUAUACUUAGGUAAUGAAAAAUGCUUUUAUCAAGGUUGAUGAGAAGAUCAGGAUAUAUUGAGCAGGUUAAAAAUGUUCUUUUAAAUCAAUGUAUUAAUAUGAACAAGUCACCAGUUUGAGGAUACAAAAGUUUCCAACAAUGUCCAAUUGAUCCAGAUGACAAUAACGGAAGUCUGUUAGCUAUGUUAGUUUCUAUCUUCUACAUUAAAAUUUUUUGUAUAUGAAAUCUCUUUUAAAACCAAUGGUAUGUCUGUUGUUUCACUAGGAUGAGCCACUCACCUGCUGACAUCUUUAGAUUGUUUUUAGUGAAAUGAAAGUUGACAGGCUUUUGCUGCUUCUUUAUCAUUGUAAUGUUAAUGAUUUCUAGUUGGAUAUGUUUAACUUACAAUCUAGUAUUUUAAAUUUAUACACUAAAAUAAAAUACUGGGGAUACAUGUGAAUUUGUAGAAUAUCAUCUCUGUUCCUCUGAGUAAUGUGGAGUAACAUGAAAACUGAGGAUGCUUUUGAAGGUGAGGAAAUCACCUGCAUCAUGCUGUGAUGUGUUAUUCUAUUCUUUUUCAUGACCUGUCAGUCUUCUUGAAUAGCACUGUUUUCUAAUAUAGCCUAGUGACUGAAAUAAUCUGCAUAGAGCUUUGAUUGUGGAUUGUAAGAUCUCUACAAUAUCAUUUUCGGCAAGAAUCCUGAUCUAACAUUAUACUGUUUAAGCCUGGAAUACCAGAUGGGACCUAUCACAAAACUCUUAGACCUGGAGAGGUUAUCACAAAAAGAAAGAUAAAAUUUUUUUAAAAAGGAAAAAUACUGAAAAGCAACUCAGAACAGUGUUCCAUGUGAAUGAUGGAGAAUAUCUGAGGAAGGGUAACAUACAUUCUCAGAUCAUAAAAUGCACUGAAUAUUAAAUGUAGUCAGUAAAAACAUACCAAUUUCUAGUCAUAGUGAAAAUGAAAAAUGUCAAGGAAAAGGAGAUAAUAAAAACUAUCAGGUGGAAAAAAGAUUGCCUUUAAAAAAACAGUAAUUAGAUAAAUGGUAGAUUGCAGAUAAAGAAGAAAGGAUAUGGGAAGGAAAUAGAGUAAUAACAUCCAAGUGCUGUUGGGAACUAAUUCUUGAUCUGGAAUUUAUACCCAGUUAGGUUAUCAUUAUGGAGGGAAUAAAGAUGAAAACAUUUUUAGGCAUACAAAUAUCAAACAUAGAUCCUUACUUGAACUAUUAAAGGAUAAAUUUCACCAAACAGAAAGAAGAGGAUAAUGUGAUGACACAGAUAGUAAUAACAUUUUUAUGAUCUUUAGUUAAACUUUACUUACACUUUUUUUUAACAUUAAAAGAUAAUUAUAAAAUUCUAAGCUGGAUAGACUAGGAGUAUGAAAGCAUACCAGUGUUCUUGUAAUUUGGGAGGAGGAUAGAAAUACUGAAGUACUUUAUAUUUCAUAAGAAAAGCUAGGGGAUUCCAACCUAACAUGACAACAUAGGAGGUUCCUAAAUUUCCCACUUCCCAUGGAUGAACCAAAUCUAUAGUUACACAAGGAGCAAUUUCCUCAGAAAUCCAGAAACUGAGUUAUUUCACGUAUUGGGUGACUGAGAAAAUGCCUACAUCAAAAUAGGUACACCUAUUCUUACCAUAAAAUCAACUCCCAAUACAGUGCUGUAUAGAGUCAGGGGGGAAACCCCAACUCCCAGCUUCUCUCUGAAGAGGGAAAGGUUUGGACCACACAUCUAGUGCCCCAACUUUUAAGGCUGUCACCCAAAGCAUGGUCCCUCAGAUCAUUUAGCUGAAAGCAAAUGGGGCUUGCAUUCAUGGGACCCACAGACCUAUAGCAAACAAAGAUAUCACUUGGCCAUGGCUAUCCCCACAGCGUUCAAUGCAGAGGGAACAGGCAAAAGCACCCAUUCUCUUGGUCUUUCUCUGGAAGGGUUUUGGAUGAAUACUUUACAAGUUAUUGCCUGAGGAUCUGGCAUCUGAUUAGUAGGCAUCUAGGUGUUGACUGUUAUUGAACUUGGAGCUUGAGAGAACUGGUGAUCACUCCCCUCCCCACUUUUCUCUCUCUGGUUUUCUCCAACAAAACUGUUAUUAGCAUCUCCGUGAAAGAUGCUUGUCCACAUAUUUAGCACUUCAACUUAUAUAGCUACCAUCUGAGGGCUGGGUCCCUAAAUCACAAGGCUUGCAUUUACAGUUCUACAGGACUAUAGCAAACAGAAAAGGAGUUUUUGUAAGUGGGUGUAGGAACACUCUCCCUCCUCCAUACCCAUGGCAAUACAGCCUGAAUUAGUGCAGAGGGAGCAGGCUAAAAUGCAGUUUUCCCCUUAAAUGGGUUUGACUGCAUACUUUCCCAGCUGCUAAGUGUCUGGCUUCUAAUCACACUACAUCUAGGUGCUGACUACAGACAUCUCAUUUGAGACACUGACUGGUCUUGGCAUACUCCCAACUACUGGGAUCCCCCCAAAACAAAGAUGGUGGUUUGAGAGGCAAUGAGAAGCAUGUGCUGGGCUGAUGAUGAGGUUCAUCUACUACAUUAAAAUUGUCUGACAAAACUGGGAAAGGUGGUUUUUUUCUAUAACAUGCAGAAAGAAAAGCAGAAGGUAUCUACCCCUCCAUAUUCAUUGCAACAUUAUUCAUUAUAGCCAAGAUACAGAGACAACCUAAG